rnacentral:rRNA from 1 species
AUUGAACGCUGGCGGCAUGCCUUACACAUGCAAGUCGAACGGUAACGCGGGGCAACCUGGCGACGAGUGGCGAACGGGUGAGUAAUGCAUCGGAACGUGCCCAGUCGUGGGGGAUAGCCGGGCGAAAGCCGGCUUAAUACCGCAUACGACCUACGGGUGAAAGCGGGGGACCGCAAGGCCUCGCGCUAUUGGCGCGGCCGAUGUCAGAUUAGGUUGUUGGUGGGGUAAAGGCCUACCAAGCCGACGAUCUGUAGCUGGUCUGAGAGGACGACCAACCACACGGGGACUGGGACACGGGCCAGGCUCCUACGGGAGGCAGGAGUGGGGAAUUUUGGACAAUGGGGGCAACCCUGAACCAGCCAUGCCGCGUGCGGGAAGAAGGCCUUCGGGUUGUAAACCGCUUUUGUCAGGGAAGAAAAGCUCUGGGCUAAUACCUCGGGGUAAUGACGGUACCUGAAGAAUAAGCACCGGCUAACUACGUGCCAGCAGCCGCGGUAAAAC